GGCUGCGGGGGGGCGGCCCAGCUCCCCGCCUCCCUCCCCCCCGCCGCUGCAGUGGAGGAGCCGGGCGGCCGCACGUGGCCUGUGUGCGGAGCAGGCUUGAGCCUGCCCGGACCGUGAGACUGGCGGGGACUGAGGUCGGGGGGGUCCUGAGCCCCGGCCAGCCACGCCUGGUACAGAGAGCAGCUGGGCUCUCCACUCCCUGGGACUGGGGGGCCACCCGCCUGGGCUCGGCCAGCUGAUCCCAGGACUCCAGGAGCUGGAGAUGUCCCAGGGGCCCCCAAUAUCCCGGGCAAGUCACUGGAGCUGGUAACGCCGAAAGAGGAAAUUCAGCUUUAAACGUGAUGCAUGCAGUGGUCUCAGCCUAUCUUUCCAAGUGGCCUUCCCUGUUCCAUGCACCAGGCGAUCCCCCGCUUGGAGCAAUGCCGAGCUGCUGGACCUCAUCGGCAUUUGGGGAGAGGAGGCUGUCCAGUCCCCACUGUGCUCCAGCCAUAGGAAUUAUGAUACCUCUGGACAGAUUUGACGAUUCAUGACAGAAAGGGGCCAUGACCGGGACACACUGCAGUGCAGGGUCAAAGUGAAGCAGCUGCGGAACACCUACCACAAGGCGCGGGAGGUAAAUUGCCGCUCCGGUGCUGCGCCCACGAGUUGCCGGUUUUACAAAGAGCUGGACGCAAUACUCGGUGGUGACCCUACUUCCACUGCAAAGGCCCCUGUGGAUACUUCGUUGGCUCGUGUGCCAGUCGAGAGUGGACCGAGCCAGGAGAAGGCAAUCUUGGACGAAGAGGGGGAGGGGAACCCAGAGUCAGAGGAUGACUGAGAGGCCAGAGACGCAUGCGGUCAGGAGCUCUUUUCUACCCCGGAGGAGCCUACCCAGUCACAGCAGUCGGAUCUUGGCGAAGUGCAAACAGGAGAGCAGGCCCCUGAGAUGACCUUGGGAGCCCAGCCUCCCUCUUUGUUAUCGGCAGCAGAACGGUUGUGAAGAAUUAGAAAGUGGCCACGAAGAACUAAGGAGGACUUUCUGCGUGAGGUUAUGAUGCACUCCGCCGCCGAGAAACAGGAAUCAAAGGAGUGGCGGGACAGCAAAAAGAGGGAACAAAAGGAGAACGCGGCACAUCAGAAAGAAGCCAUGGAGUGGCUCUUAACAGUUAUGGAGCGCCAAGCGGACACACUCCAGGCAAUACUAGCUCUUCAAACCGAGCAGCUCCACGCCUGUCUCCCCUGCAGCCGCUGUUGUAAAAUUCUUUCCCAUGCGCCACAC